UGGAAGAAGCUGUCUGUAAUAAGAGACUACAGUAUUUGUUUAUUUACUAUUAUAGCCUAAUUGUGGAAGAAGUAGGCAUACAACAUACACACAGUAACAUUCGAAGAUGUUGACAGCUUACUUUGUUUCUUCAGUAGUGUGAAUUAAUUCAAGAUCGAUUUUAAUAAUAUGGAAAAAGUUGAGUGAUCUUCAAGCCAUAAAUAUACUACCAUCACCUACCUUGCAACAGGAGAACGCUUGUUGAGGAGAUUUUUUGUGGGUUGUCAAGACUAGCGUUCAGUUGGAGCUUGUCAGCGUACAGCAGAUGAAUAAUGGGUAGACCGAUUAGUUGGAAGCUCGCCAAGUAUAAAUGAAGCAGAUGAACUGUGGCAAACCAAAGUUGUUAUACAGAAGGUUGAGCCUAGAAAUGAAUUGUCAGAUUUUGAGAUGAAGCAAGUGAACUGUGGAAAGCCAAAUGUUGAUCGAGAAUUGUGGGAAAUAGAGACCAAUUUGUUUGAAUCUUGCUACAUACACUGAUUGUAAGACAUCUUCACUGCAAUAGACAUUUAUUGUUCAUUCAUAAAAUUGGUGGUUAUGGAUUGUUUGUCAAGUCAGGUUUGUGGUAUAAUAUAUUAAGUUACUUAGUGUUAGUCUGAUUCUGGACUUAGCGUAAAUUGUUGGUCCUAUUCUGGACUUCGUGUAAACUGUUGAGUCUUAUUCUGGACUUAGUUAAAAUGCUGGACUUAGUAUAAUUGUUGGGUCCUAUUCUAGACCUUACAGUAGUGUAAAUUGUUGGUCCUAUUCUGGACUUAGUUAAAAUUCUGGACUUAGUGUAAAUUAGUGAAAAAUUGUUGGUCCUAUUCUGGACUUGUGUAAAUUGUUGGUCCUAUUU